rnacentral:rRNA from 1 species
AGUGAACGCUGGCGGUAGGCCUAACACAUGCGAGUCGAACGGCAGCACAGUAAGAGCUUGCUCUUACGGGUGGCGAGUGGCGGACGGGUGAGGAAUACAUCGGAAUCUACUUUUUCGUGGGGGAUAACGUAGGGAAACUUACGCUAAUACCGCAUACGACCUACGGGGGAAAGAAGGGGAUCUUCGGACCUUGGGCGAUUGAAUGAGCCGAUGUCGGAUUAGCUAGUUGGCGGGGUAAAGGCCCACCAAGGCGACGAUCCGUAGCUGGUCUGAGAGGAUGAUCAGCCACACUGGAACUGAGACACGGUCCAGACUCCUACGGGAGGCAGCAGUGGGGAAUAUUGGACAAUGGGCGCAAGCCUGAUCCAGCCAUACCGCGUGGGUGAAGAAGGCCUUCGGGUUGUAAAGCCCUUUUGUUGGGAAAGAAAAGCAGCAGGUUAAUACCCCGCUGUUCUGACGGUACCCAAAGAAUAAGCACCGGCUAACUUCGUG